UCUACUUAACAGCAUCUAAGUCUAGAAAUUCAGAAACGUCUAUAUGUGCGCCUCUCUCUGUAAUGUCCUGAUUCUUUUUUUUUUUUCUCAUCCACUUGCCCAUCAGUGGUUCAGAUAUUCUCUCCAUAUUUGUGUUUGCAAAGUUCUAUUCCUGAAUGGAAUUUUCUCCCAGGAAUUCCCAACCGAGGCCAUCUGCUCUGCAGGCAGAAAGUGAAGCGACCGCAGCCUGAUGCAGCCAGGAAGGCAGAGGCUGAGAGGAGGGAGUGUGGCAUCAGAACAGAGUCGGCCGGGGCUCUGGCUUCCUCCUCCGGGAUCAAGGGAAAUGUGCGAAGCACAGUGCAGAAUCCGGGGCAGCUCAUGCCCACUCACUUACUGGGGAACAGAGAAAACACGAGUGACGGGGAGAUUUUGUGGGCUGACACUCCUCAGAAAUGCUGUGUGCACAUGGGCAUGGUGAUUGAUACUUAGCGCUUUGAAGCAAACACUGUGAGACUACUCAGCAUUGAGAGAAGCUGUCCACGCAGAUGCCCAGGAAGCAGCCCGGAGGAUAGGGUGCCCCAGCAAUACUGCAGAAUCCCAACUACUGACGAGAAUGAGUAAAAGAAUGCACAGAUUGGACAUGCCUUUCUCACCAUCCUCACAGGGAACACAGCAAUAGCAGCUGUGAGUCUCCUGUCUGCCCGAGAAGGUGCCCCCUCAUCAGCAAGCCGGCUCUCCUCACACCAGCUGGCAGGGGCCUCUCCAACGCCUGAGCUCCAGGCACACAUCGCUUCCACAUUCCUGUGACACCUGCCACAGUCAGCCUGGCAUUGCGGUGUCUGAGCACCUGUCGUUGCAUCUGUGCUGAAUCAGGCACUGUGAGUGCAAGGCCAGGCCCCGUGGACUUGGGUUCCCACGGGUACCUGGCGGGUUGCCCUGCAUCAGGAAGUGCUUGUUCCAUCCUGAAUGUGGACUUCAGAAAAGGACACCCCUACAUAUGCUGCUUUGUUUAUUUCACAGACUCAGAUCUCCAACUAUCAAGAGUAGAGGGAAAGUUUUCCCUUUCCUACAAAUGUAAUGACAAAAACACCAUGUACCGAAUGGGUUAACAAAUGAAUGAAAAAACUUUAUCCUACACAGUUCCUCCUAUGAAGCUACCAAGAGAUGGGUGAAUAAAGGCUACCUAAGCCCAUUUCCUACGGACCAUAUCCUCAAAUAGCACAUACCUAUCGAACAUUGACAACCCUCAAGAUAACAGGGGCAUCUGAGAAAUGUAGGAAGCAAGGCAGGUUGCUUGGGGAAAUAUUUGUGGACUGCCUUCUUCUAAGGUUAUUCCUAUUUUAAAGGACUUGAAAAAACACUCUGCCACACAGCUGCUGAAAAAGAAAUAUGAGCUGACAAAGCAUUCCUCAUUUUACCUAAACAAGAAAAGAAAAGAGGCCACCAUACCCCAGGGCACAGGUGACAGACAAUAAAAUAACAAAGGUCAGUG